UAAGACAUCAGCUAUAAGCUA
rnacentral:miRNA from 1 species